rnacentral:rRNA from 1 species
CAGCAGCCGCGGUAAAACAGAGGGUGCGAGCGUUAAUCGGAUUUACUGGGCGUAAAGCGUGCGUAGGCGGCUUCUUAAGUCGGAUGUGAAAUCCCUGAGCUUAACUUAGGAAUUGCAUUCGAUACUGGGAAGCUAGAGUAUGGGAGAGGAUGGUAGAAUUCCAGGUGUAGCGGUGAAAUGCGUAGAGAUCUGGAGGAAUACCGAUGGCGAAGGCAGCCAUCUGGCCUAAUACUGACGCUGAGGUACGAAAGCAUGGGGAGCAAACAGGAUUAGAUACCCCGGUAGUCCCUGUCUCUUAUAC